AGACCAUGGUGCGGACAUCUUUGGAUCAACAUCUUAAAUCGCUCCUAAGCUUUGUGAAAAUUUUCUCCUUCCAAUUGUUUAAAUAUGGAAAUCUCCCUCCUGAGUUG
rfam:Gossypium raimondii Chr04_contig_1019, whole genome shotgun sequence.